rnacentral:rRNA from 1 species
UACGAAGGGGGCGAGCGUUGUUCGGAUUUACUGGGCGUAAAGGGCGCGCAGGCGGCGCUUUUUGUCCGGCGUGAAAGCCCCGGGCUUAACCUGGGAACUGCGUUUGAUACGGAUGGGCUAGAGUUCGGGAGAGGAGAGUGGAAUUCCCAGUGUAGAGGUGAAAUUCGUAGAUAUUGGGAAGAACACCGGUGGCGAAGGCGGCUCUCUGGACCGAGACUGACGCUGAGGCGCGAAAGCGUGGGGAGCAAACAGG